UAGCUCAGUGGUUUGAGCAUUGGCCUGCUAAACCAAAGGUUGUGAGUUCAAUCUUUGC
rnacentral:tRNA from 1 species